AGAGCGAACGCUGGCGGCAGGCCUAACACAUGCAAGUCGAACGGAACCUUCGGGUUCAGUGGCGGACGGGUGAGUAACACGUGGGAACGUGCCUUUUGGUUCGGAACAACUCAGGGAAACUUGAGCUAAUACCGAAUGUGCCCUUCGGGGGAAAGAUUUAUCGCCAAAAGAGCGGCCCGCGUCUGAUUAGCUAGUUGGUGGGGUAAAGGCCCACCAAGGCUACGAUCAGUAGCUGGUCUGAGAGGAUGAUCAGCCACACUGGGACUGAGACACGGCCCAGACUCCUACGGGAGGCAGCAGUGGGGAAUCUUGCGCAAUGGGCGAAAGCCUGACGCAGCCAUGCCGCGUGUAUGAUGAAGGUCUUAGGAUUGUAAAAUACUUUCACCGGGGACGAUAAUGACGGUACCCGGAGAAGAAGCCCCGGCUAACUUCGUGCCAGCAGCCGC
rnacentral:rRNA from 1 species